rnacentral:rRNA from 1 species
UACGAAAGGAGCAAGUGUUAUUCAGAUUAACUGGGCGUAAAGCGCACGUAGGCGGCUUUUUAAGUCAGGGGUGAAAUCCUGGAGCUCAACUCCAGAACUGCCUUUGAUACUGAGAAGCUUGAGUCCGGGAGAGGUGAGUGGAACUGCGAGUGUAGAGGUGAAAUUCGUAGAUAUUCGCAAGAACACCAGUGGCGAAGGCGGCUCACUGGCCCGGUACUGACGCUGAGGUGCGAAAGCGUGGGGAGCAAACAGG